rnacentral:misc_RNA from 1 species
GGAGAGCGGGGCGAAGGCCAACUUCCCCCACAAUGGCGUCGACUUUCCGGCGGCGCGACCCACCGGCCGGUUCAGCAACGGGUACAACGGCAUCGAUUUUCUCGCCAUUCAUAUGGGCUUUAGGAGGAGCCCUCCACCUUUUCUUUCUGUUGCAAGUAAUGGUAACCACCAGGUAAUGAAAGGUAAAAAAGGUGUUAGCUUUGCGUCUGGAGGCUCAGGAAUUCUA